GCCAGGCGCAGUAACACGUGCCUGUAGUCCCAGCUACUCAGGAGGCUGAGGUGGGAGGAUCACUUGAGCCCAGUAGUUCUGGGCUGUAGGGUGCUAUGCCGAUUGGGUGUCCGCACUAAGUUUGGCAUCAAUAUGAGUUUGGCAUCAAUAUGGUGACCUCCUGGGAGCAGCGACCACCAGGUUGCCUAAGGAGGGGUGAACCAGCCCAGGUCCGAAAAAAAGAACUACGCUAAAUCUACUCUGCGAUCUAUCAGUAAAGUAAUAAAGCCUGAAUGACAGCACAUCUGUUUACAGCAUGGUUUACUGACUAUUUUAAGCCCAUUAUU
rnacentral:SRP_RNA from 1 species